UUCUCUCCCCCUUGGCCGCCGCCCCCCUGCCCGUCUCCUCCUCUCUCCAUUCUUGCAGCCACCAAACCCUAGCCCCCCCCCCCAAUCCCCUCCUCCCAAGGUGCCAAUCCUUGCCGCUCGGAUCAUCAUCAUCGUGGUGCGAGUCUUCAAUCAUUUUGGUGGAGGGAAGAAGGGAGGAAGGAAAGGGGGAGAAUCCAAGGUGAUUUUUGUGUUCAUCCCUUGUUCAUUUGCGCUGCAAUUUAAUUGAUUAGAGGUUGCGUUUGCAAUUGGGUAGAGGGGGCUAUCCAGAAUUUUAGGUGGUGGGUGAACAGCAGUAGUCUAGCAGUUUCUGUGUUUUUUCGUGAGGAACUAAGGGAAAUCAGUUUGGGGAUCAUGUAGAACUUUACCUUACCUUUCCAACGAGUAUUUAUGCGCUCAAUUUGGAGUUAUAAAUUGAAAGUUAUCACCGUUUGAAUCCGGGUAUGUGGCUGUCCAAAAAAAACAGAUUUUUCAGGGGGAUGAACAGCAGCAGUAUUAGCAGUUUUUGGGGAUUUUUUGGGAGUAAUUAGUGUUAAUCAGUAUGAGAAUCAUGUAGGGCUUUAUGUUAUCUUUCCAACAAGUACUUAUGCGCUCGAUUCGGAGUUAUAAUUCAGGAGAUAUCGUUGUUUGAAUCCGGUUAUGUUGCUGUCCAAAAAAAAACAGAUUUUUCAGGUGGGUGAACAGCAGUGGUAUUAGCAGUUUCUGGGAAUUUUUCGUGGGUAAUUAGUGUUAACCAGUAUGGUAAUCAUGUAGGGAUUUGUCUUAUCUUUCCAAUGAGUACUUAUGCGCUUGAUUUGGAAUUAUAUUUUAAAAGAUAUCGCUGUUUGAAUCUGGGUAUGUCGCUGUCCAAAAGACAAAGAAAAACAGAUUACAGGGUUCAUCUUGUGGACUGUUUUGGGCUAAUUAGAUAUUAAAAUUUAAUUAUAAAUUGUAUACAAAACUUGUGGGGAAUUUUAUUUAGAUGCCUCUGGAGUUUUUGUUUGUUACCACUGCUGUCAUAAUUUUAAAGUUAUGAAAUUAUUAAGCAGCGCCGCUGCAGUUUGGUGGGUGUAGGGAGAGAUGUAACCCGCGGCGGGGUUUGAAUUGUGCGUAGGUGCGGCGUCGCUUAUGGGCCUGAUUAUGUGAAAUUGGUGUACUAAGUUGGGUGUCAAAAACAGGUGGUGGACUUCCGGAUCGUACUUAGGGAUUUGCCCGAACUUUCGGUAAAGGCAAGUAAAUACAGUGGUGGUUGCUACCGUUUGGUUUGCAUCCUAUUCCCUGUCAUUGAGUAUGCAUAAGUUUUAAUUAUGUUAAUCAUUGAAUUCUAUGAUGAAGUUUAUUUGUUUGGAAGUAUUAAUUCUCAAUUGUCUAAUAUUGUGGAUGAUCAUAAUUUGGUAAUGAUAUAUGUGGUUGAUUCCCAUCUGGAUGAAGUUGAAGUGUCUUUUUGAAUCAUGUUAUAUGAAGUGUUGUAGGCAUGACAUGCACAUCGCAUCAUCCAUCUUGCAUUUUGAAGUUAUGUCGUGAUCUUAUGGUCCGACCGUACCGGUACAUUUUUAGCAUCGUACGUUGCCCGAGGAGGGGUACGAUGCGGCUUCAUAUCCUUAGAGGUAUGAAGGCAGAAGUCAUCCUUGCAUUUGCAGACAUUUGCACUCAUGAGGAAAUAUAUGAAGUGUGACAUUACUAUGUUACUAUUGUGGUUUCUACCUGCGAGGUGUGGUAACUAGGUGCGUUGUACGUUGUAUACGUGCUGCACCUUCGUAAUAAGAAGGUUGUGGAAUCAAGUGGUGGUAAAACAAUGUUCUUAUGUGGUUAAACUGUUUGAUAUUAUUUUACUUGCUGAGAUGUGUCAUCUCACUCUUGCAUUACUCAAUGCAGGUACUUGAUACAUGUUGGGAAUGAGGGGAGUAGCAGCACGUCCACUUUCACUCUCACAAUAACGCUGCCCAGGCGCAGCCAUGAUUUAAUUAGAAACUUAUUGUCAAAGGAAGUUUGUUUAUUUUUUUUAUAUGGUCGUGCGCACUGGUUAAUUCAGUUCAGGUCGUAUGUUUAUCUUUCCUUGCUGGCCGAGUAAUAAUACUUAGUAUGUUUUAGUCAUGAUAUAUGUUUAUACUCUGUUGCUCCCUCUUUUAUGCAAUCUUGCAAAGGGGAUGCUGCCGAAAUUUUAUAUAUGGACGUCGGAAGUGUAGU
rnacentral:lncRNA from 1 species